ACUGGAGUGUACUGGUGUGAGCCCAGAGAGGGAGCAGCCAGCAGCAGCAUCCAGCUCACUGUCUCUGGUGGAUCAGUGAUCCUGCAGAGUCCUGUCCUCCCUGUGAUGGAGGGAGAUGACGUCACUCUGAGCUGUCAAACAAAGACUUCCUCCAACCUCCCAGCUGCUUUCAUUAAAGAUGGCUCCCUCAUCAGGACUGAGCCUGCAGGUCACAUGACCCUCCACCAUGUGACCAGCUCUGAUGAAGGUCUCUACAAGUGUAACAUCAGGGGUCAUGGAGAGUCUCCAUCCAGCUGGAUCUCUGUCUCAGGUCAGGAGGAAAAAAAACGUUCAGAGAAACCAACCUCACCUCCUUCUAAAACUACUGGACCUCCUCCCUUUAAUUAUAUGUUUCCAUCUCUUGGAUUUAUCAGUGCAGUGGUUUUACUGCUACUGGUUCUACUGGUGAGGCCAAGAAGUCACAGGGGAUCUGAAAGUGUGGAAAAGGAAGCUGGAGAGAACUGCAUCAUCUACAUCAAUAUCAGAAUAACUGAACAUUAUCAAAAGAAAAAACAAUUCAGUGACGG